rnacentral:rRNA from 1 species
GACGAACGCUGGCGGCGUGCUUAACACAUGCAAGUCGUACGGUAAGGCCCUUUCGGGGGUACACGAGUGGCGAACGGGUGAGUAACACGUGAGUAACCUGCCCACAACUUUGGGAUAACGCUAGGAAACUGGUGCUAAUACUGGAUAUGUGCUCCUGCUUCAUGGUGGGGGUUGGAAAGCUCCGGCGGUUGUGGAUGGACUCGCGGCCUAUCAGCUUGUUGGUGGGGUAGUGGCCUACCAAGGCGGCGACGGGUAGCCGGCCUGAGAGGGUGACCGGCCACAUUGGGACUGAGAUACGGCCCAGACUCCUACGGGAGGCAGCAGUGGGGAAUAUUGCACAAUGGGCGCAAGCCUGAUGCAGCAACGCCGCGUGCGGGAGGACGGCCUUCGGGUUGUAAACCGCUUUCAGCAGGGACGAAGCUUUUUGUGACGGUACCUGCAGAAGAAGCACCGGCUAACUACGUG